rnacentral:tRNA from 1 species
AAUUUAUUUUAAUAGCUUAUUAGAGCAUAAUAUUGAAGAUAUUAGGGAGAUAUGAUUAUCUUAAAAUAU